UACGUAGGGGGCAAGCGUUGUCCGGAUUUAUUGGGCGUAAAACGCUCGUAGGUGGCUACGUCAAGUCGGACGUGAAAUCUCCCGGCUUAACUGGGAGAGGUCGCUCGAUACUGGCGAGCUCGAGGCAGGUAGGGGGAAGCGGAAUUCCCGGUGUAGUGGUGGAAUGCGUAGAUAUCAGGAGGAACACCGGUGGCGAAGGCGGCUAUCUGGACAGAAACUGACGCUGAGGCGCGAAAGCUAGGGGAGCAAACAGG
rnacentral:rRNA from 1 species